UACGUAGGGUGCAAGCGUUGUCCGGAAUUAUUGGGCGUAAAGAGCUCGUAGGCGGCUUGUCGCGUCGGCUGUGAAAACCUAGGGCUCAACCUGGGCCUGCAGCCGAUACGGGCAGACUAGAGUUCGGCAGGGGAGACUGGAAUUCCUGGUGUAGCGGUGAAAUGCGCAGAUAUCAGGAGGAACACCGGUGGCGAAGGCGGGUCUCUGGGCCGAUACUGACGCUGAGGAGCGAAAGCGUGGGGAGCAAACAGG
rnacentral:rRNA from 1 species